rnacentral:rRNA from 1 species
UACGAAGGGGGCUAGCGUUGUUCGGAAUUACUGGGCGUAAAGCGCACGUAGGCGGUCUUUUAAGUCGGGGGUGAAAUCCUGGAGCUCAACUCCAGAACUGCCUUCGAUACUGGAAGACUUGAGUCCGGGAGAGGUGAGUGGAACUGCGAGUGUAGAGGUGAAAUGCGUAGAGAUCGGGAGGAAGGCCGGUGGCGAAGGCGGCGCUCUGGAACGUUACUGACGCUGAGACACGAAAGCGUGGGGAGCAAACAGG